rnacentral:rRNA from 1 species
UAUAAUUAAAAGAAAUUAAUUUUAAAGUAAACGAAUUAGUGCGAGCUAAAAAAUUUUACUUUUUAGGGUUUAAGCUAAUUGUAGCAAUACUUAGGAAAUAUAAUUUUUUAGGGGCGAAAUACUAGUCAAGUACUAUGAUAACUUUAUUAAAAGGAAAUAUAUUAAGUAUUUAGACAAUUUUGAAAUGAUUAGGUUUCAAAAUUUCAUAAUUGUAAAUUUGUUUUUAGUAAAUUGUAUAAUAACAAUUAUUUAUUUAAAAGUAAUACUUAAUUUUAGAUAAAUAUGGAUAAUACUUUUAUAUAUAUUUAAUAUUUAAAAAAAUAAAUAAUGUUAUAAUUAGUAUUAAAAUAAUUAAAUUAGAGGAAUUCGGCAAAUUAUUUCUCAACUGUUUAUCAAAAACAUUGCCUGAAGAUAUUAUUUUAGGUUAAUCCUGCUCAAUGGUUUCUAAAUAGCCGCAGUACCUUGACUGUGCAAAGGUAGCAUAAUCAGUUGGCUUAUAAUUGAAGUCUGGCAUGAAGGGGUUUUUGGGAAAUAACUAUCUUUUAUUUACCUUUAAAAAUUACUAAAUAAGUGAAAAUUCUUAUAUUUAUAAAAUAGACGAGAAGACCCUAGAAAUUUUUAAUAAAUUUUAACGUUCUUUUUUGUUGGGGCGACAUUGUAACAAAAAACUUACAAAAAAAAUAAGACCUAAUUGUAUUGAUUAAAUAAAUUACUCUAGGGAUAACAGCAUAAUUUAUAAAAGUUUGUGACCUCGAUGUUGGACUAGGAAAAAUAUUAUUCAGAAGAUAUUUAUUUUGGCUCUGUUCGAGCUAUUUUUCCUACAUGAUCUGAGUUCAGACCGG